AAUUCGCCCUUAGAGUUUGAUCCUGGCUCAGAUUGAACGCUGGCGGUAUGCUUAACACAUGCAAGUCGAACGGUAACAGCAGAAGCUUGCUUCUGGCUGACGAGUGGCGGACGGGUGAGUAACGCGUGGGAAUCUGCCUACUAGCGGGGGAUAGCCCGGAGAAAUCCGGAUUAAUACCGCAUACGCCCUACGGGGGAAAGCUGGGGAUCUUCGGACCUGGCACUAGUAGAUGAGCCCGCGUUAGAUUAGCUAGUUGGUGGGGUAAUGGCCUACCAAGGCGACGAUCUAUAGCUGGUCUGAGAGGACGAUCAGCCACACUGGGACUGAGACACGGCCCAGACUCCUACGGGAGGCAGCAGUGGGGAAUAUUGCACAAUGGGCGCAAGCCUGAUGCAGCAAUACCGCGUGUGUGAAGAAGGCCUGCGGGUUGUAAAGCACUUUCAAUCGUGAAGAAAAGCCUGUGGUUAAUAGCUGCGGGUCUGACAUAGCGAU
rnacentral:rRNA from 1 species